GUUAAGAUGUCUGAUUAAGGUGGUAAAUUGUAAGUUUAUUUAUGAAUUAUAAUUCUCUUAAUA
rnacentral:tRNA from 1 species